rnacentral:rRNA from 1 species
AGUAACGCGUGGGGAACCUGCCCUAUACAGGGGGAUAACAGCUGGAAACGGUUGCUAAUACCGCAUAAGCGCACAGAAUCGCAUGAUUCAGUGUGAAAAGCCCUGGCAGUAUAGGAUGGUCCCGCGUCUGAUUAGCUGGUUGGUGAGGUAACGGCUCACCAAGGCGACGAUCAGUAGCCGGCUUGAGAGGGUGAACGGCCACAUUGGGACUGAGACACGGCCCAA